UACGUAGGGUGCGAGCGUUAAUCGGAAUUACUGGGCGUAAAGCGUGCGCAGGCGGUGAUGUAAGACAGGUGUGAAAUCCCCGGGCUUAACCUGGGAACUGCAUUUGUGACUGCAUCGCUGGAGUACGGCGAGAGGGGGAUGGAAUUCCGCGUGUAGCAGUGAAAUGCGUAGAUAUGCGGAGGAACACCGAUGGCGAAGGCAAUCCCCUGGGCCUGUACUGACGCUCAUGCACGAAAGCGUGGGGAGCAAACAGG
rnacentral:rRNA from 1 species